rnacentral:rRNA from 1 species
UACGUAGGGGGCAAGCGUUAUCCGGAUUUACUGGGUGUAAAGGGAGCGUAGGCGGUUCAGCAAGUCAGAAGUGAAAGCCCGGGGCUCAACUCCGGGACUGCUUUUGAAACUGUUGAACUAGAUUGCAGGAGAGGUAAGUGGAAUUCCUAGUGUAGCGGUGAGAUGCGUAGAUAUUAGGAGGAACACCAGUGGCGAAGGCGGCCUGCUGGACGAUGACUGACGUUGAGGCUCGAAAGCGUGGGGAGCAAACAGG